rnacentral:rRNA from 1 species
UACAGAGGUCCCAAGCGUUGUUCGGAUUCACUGGGCGUAAAGAGCUCGUAGGCGGCCUGUUACGUCUGCUGUGAAAUCCCGGGGCUUAACCCCGGGCGUGCAGUGGAUACGGGCAGGCUGGAGGCAGGCAGGGGAGAACGGAAUUCCCGGUGUAGCGGUGAAAUGCGCAGAUAUCGGGAGGAACACCGGUGGCGAAGGCGGUUCUCUGGGCCUGUACUGACGCUGAGGAGCGAAAGCGUGGGGAGCGAACAGG